rnacentral:rRNA from 1 species
AUUGAACGCUGGCGGUAUGCUUAACACAUGCAAGUCGAACGGUAGCAGCUCUUCGGAGGCUGACGAGUGGCGGACGGGUGAGUAACGCGUAGGAAUCUGCCUGUUAGUGGGGGACAACUUAGGGAAACUUAAGCUAAUACCGCAUACGCCCUACGGGGAAGGAGGGGAUCUUCGGACCUUUCGCUAACAGAUGAGCCUGCGUAGGAUUAGCUAGUUGGUAGGGUAAAAGCCUACCAAGGCGACGAUCCUUAGCUGUUCUGAGAGGAAGAUCAGCCACACUGGGACUGAGACACGGCCCAGACUCCUACGGGAGGCAGCAGUGGGGAAUAUUGGACAAUGGGCGAAAGCCUGAUCCAGCAAUACCGCGUGUGUGAAGAAGGCCUUAGGGUUGUAAAGCACUUUCAAUUGGAAGGAAAAAACCAGGGUCAAUACCCCUGGUCUUGACAUUACCUUUAGAAGAAGCACCGGCUAACUCCGUG